GAAUUGCGAUAUGUAAUGUGAAUUGCAGAAUUCAGUGAAUCAUCGAAUCUUUGAACGCACCUUGCGCUCCUUGGUAUUCCGAGGAGCAUGCCUGUUUGAGUGUCAUUAAAUUCUCAACCUCUCCAGCUUUCACAAGUUGGUUGAGCGUUGGAUGUGGGGGUUGCGGGCUUCUCAGAGGUCGGCUCCCCUUAAAUACAUUAGCGGAAACCUUAUCCUUUCCUCUUGGUGUGAUAGUUUAUCUGCAUCUUGAUGAUUGGGUCUUUGCUGGUUUUUCUGCUUCUAACCGUCCAUUAGCUUGGACAAUUUCUUUUGACUUGACCUCAAAUCAGGUAGGACUACCCGCUGAACUUAA
rnacentral:misc_RNA from 1 species